GUCUCUUAGAACCUAUUAAGAGUCAGGCCUGCCCAGUGAUUGCUUUUUAACGGCCGCGGUACCCUGACCGUGCAAAGGUAGCAUAAUCAUUUGCCUUUUAAUUGAAGGCUGGUAUGAACGGUUUGACGAGAGUAAAGCUGUCUCACACACACUAAAUAGAAACUAAUUUAAAGGUGCAAAAGCCUUUAUAAAACAAAAAGACGAGAAGACCCUGUUGAGCUUUAAUUUUAAUGAGCACCAGCUUUAUAUUAAUAUAACUAUCUACUCAAUAAAAAUUUUAAUUGGGGCGAUUAAGGAACACAACAAAGCUUCCUGAUUUUAACUCUUAAUAUUUAUAAAUUAAAUCGAUCCAGCAAUGCUGAUCAACAAAAUGAGUUACCACAGGGAUAACAGCAUAAUUCUUUUUGAGAGCUCAUAUCGAAAAAAGAGAUUGUGACCUCGAUGUUGGACUAGGGUAAUCAGAAGGUGCAGCCGCUUUCCUGUUUGGUCUGUUCGACCAGUAAUUCCCU
rnacentral:rRNA from 1 species